rnacentral:lncRNA from 1 species
CUCUCCCUCCCUACCCCACUAUGAGUCGCCCUCCCUUAUAUCAGAGAAAACAUUCGGAAUUUGUUUUUUGGGGAUUGGCUGACUCCACUUAGCAUUAUCUUCUUCAACGCCAUUCAUUUACCUGCAAAUGCCAUGAUUUUGUUCUUUUCUUAAUGCUGAGUAAUAUUCCAUUAUGUAUAAAACAGCCACCAUUUUAAGAGAAUUUUUGCUUUCCCACCCUCCCAGGGUUCACCACUCCCUCAUACCAACCCAACCCUUCACCACCACAUUAGGACCAGCCUGGCUCUAAUCCCUGAGCCUGCCCCAUAAAAGCCCUGAACCCCGAGUCUGUGUGCCUCUCUGCACUCUAGAGAGAUGGCCUUUAUUUGUCAGAGCUGUGUAUCUCUGCCUGGCCUCCAUCUUUCAUUUCUCGCUCUCCCGUCUCCCAGUCACUGGCUUUCCUUUCACAUUAUUAAAUGACAAAACAUGGGCUAUUCUAAAUGAGAAGCACAGCAAACAAAGCCAGGUUAAAUGGGCUGAUGGAAAGCGGGGUACAAGUGAAGCCAGAGUUAGACAGUCAGUAUAGACUUGUAAAUCCAGUCAGGUCCAUCAAGGAGGCGAAUUUGAGUGAGUCUGGGAAAUUGGAGAGGGGUUGAAGGGCUAAUUCCUUAACAAGAUAACCUGCCCCUGCGCCAUCCUGCUGCUAAGGUAACCUGCCCAGGGACUGUCCCUCCUAAAGGGAGCUGUUAAGUACACCCCGUUCCUGCUCAGAUCAUACCACCUUGGCCCCUCCAGCCUAGAAGAAAACAAAGGAACCCCAAGACCUAUAAAAAAGGCAGGACCGCUCACUUCUUGGGAGACCAGGAUACCAGCUAUGACCCCCUUCUCCCUCCUGGGAGAAGUCAUUACCCCCCCCUCCCGGUUUUUUAAAAAUAUUUUUUUAAGUUGUAGAUGGACACAAUACCUUGAUUUUAUUUCUCAUUUUAUGUGGUGCUGAGGAUGGAACCCAGCACCUCACCCAUGCAAGGCAAGCGCUGCACCACUGAGCCCCAGCCCCAGGUUACCCCUUUUUAAUAAACCCCCCCUGCUUUACAUGCUUCCUCGGUGUGCUUCUCUAGGGCUGUACUUCAACAUGUGAGGCGGUAUCACAAGUGGGCCAAGUGGAGCAGGAACUAGUGACAGUAAAGACGGGUCCAGUUUCCACCAAGGCCCCAUGUCACGGUGUCUCUCAUGUCAAGUUCACCUUGUCCAGCGUCUUGAAUCUCCUGCCCUGAGCUACUACCCACUUCAGCUCCAGCCCCUGUGUGAUGUCACCCGGUGUACCUCGUGGUAUAUAUGACAUCACACUGCCCUGUCCUUGACUCAGGUCUGGAUCCCAACUAUCUGGGUAGGUCUAAUUUAUGCAACAGUGUUUGUUUAGCUGCUACCCUAAGUUGGGUAAUGAACUAAGCAUUAUGGAUAGCAUAGAUGGUAUUUGUUAAGCACCUACUAUGAGUUGGGUACUGGAGUAAGCACUGUGGAUAGUGUCAGGUGGUGUCUGUUAGGUACCUACUAUGAGUUGGGUACUGGAGUAAGCACUGAGGAUAGUGUCAGGUGGUGUUUAUUAAGCACCUACUAUGAGUUGGACACUGGACUAAGCACUGUGGACACAGAGUUGGGUGAGACACUGCCCUGGCUGUUUAAAGAAUAUGGAAUAGCACAGGGAUUGGCAAAUCAUAGCCUGUAGGAAAACUCUGGACCACACACCUGCUUACCUUUUUAAAUGGUUAAAAAAAACACAAAAAGAAAAAGGAUAUUUUGAGACAUACAAAAUUCAAAUCCCCAAGGUCCAUCAAUAAAACUUCCUUGGAACUUGGGCACUUUUCACUAUUCUGAUCUCUGUUUGCUUUUGCACUCUAAUGGCAGAGCUGAGAUCUUGAGGCCUGCAAAGCUCAAAAUACACGUCACCUGGCCUUUUGCAUAAAAAGCAUGUCAGCUCCUGGUCUCAGAGAACCUGCACUCAAAACCAGUGGCUUGUUCUCUGGGGAGACGCAGGCUGCCAUGGGAACAGGUCAGAAGGGACAUGGCCCGAUCUGCAGUUGAGAUAGCGCCCACCCAGCCCUGAGGACAGAGAAGUUCGGGCCUCCAGAGGCCCUGGGGGUCAGGUCCUCUUGCAUGUGGGAAAUGUGGCCUGAGCCCAGGCAGGUCCCUUGAAGGCACUGGAGAGGCAUGAGGGAUUAACACAGGAAUGACACAAUGGUGCUUUUCCAGAAAGACCAGGAUUGGUGAAAAGAUGGAGGCAGGAAGGGGCAGGACGGUGGAUGGCUCUGUUGGAGCACUGUUGGCAACAAUCCAGGUGAGAGCACGUGAUGGCCUAAGCAAAGACAGUGACGUAGAGGACUACAGGUGGACCAAUGGAACAAGAGGCAGGGGACAAGACGGAGAAUACCGUCAACUGCUUUGAUGAUGGCUUUAGGCCUGAGCCUAAGCAACUCUAUUUUAAAAACUCUAGUUUGAAACCUGCAGUCUCAGCACGCACACCCACAGAGCCCUCCAGUGUGGCCUCAGACAUAAACAAGUCACUUCCCCACCCUCAAAGUGAAGCUCUGACAAGAGGGAAAGGAGAAGAUCAGGGUGGAGACCACUAGACCAGAUGUUUCUGACCCCAGGGUAAAUGAUGUCACUGAGAAAUCCAGUGGUAGCUGAUGAGGAUUGAAAGGGGGGUCAAAAGCCCCAAAGUGUAAUAUGAAUAAUGGAGCCGGGUGAGGAGGUGGGGAAAAUGGCACACUCAUACACUGCUGGUGGGACUGCAAAUUCGUGCAGCCAAUAUGGAGAGCAGUAUGGAGAUUCCUUGGAAAACUGGGAAUGGAACCACCCUUUGACCCAGCUAUCCCUCUCCUUAAUCUAUACCCAAAGGACUUAAAAACAGCAUACUACAGGGACACAGCCACAUCAAUGUUUAUAGCAGCACAAUUCUCAAUAGCUAAACUGUGGAAGCAACCUAGAUGCCCUUCAGUAGAUGAAUGGAUGAAGAAAAUGUGUUAUAUAUACACAGUGGAAUGUUAUUCAGCAAUAAAAGAGUGAAAUCAUGGCAUUUGCAGGUAAAUUGAUGGACUUGUAGAAUAUAAUUCUAAGUGAAGUUAGCCAAUCCCAAAAAUCCAAAUGCUGAUUUUUUUCUCUGAUACGAGGAGGCUGAUUCAUAGUGGGGUAGGGAGAGGGAGCAUGGGAGGAAUAG